rnacentral:lncRNA from 1 species
UGAGGGAACACUGCAACUGAAUAUGGGUCAUGUGCCAGUUUUCUGUAAUGGAAUUGGAUUUUGGAAGAAGGUCUGGGAUUUUUUUUGUCCUCGUGAGAGGGGAGCUGGGAGACACCGAGUUCCGUCCAAUCAGUCAUAUAGAUAAAAAAUAGUGUGUCAUGGGUCAUUUGUUCUGACUGGAGCUCAAUUGCAAAGUCUUUCAAGUCAUGGGUCACCCAGCACCUCAUAAUUAUGAUAUGACCAAAUUAGGUUUACCCAAAUUUUUUCCCAAAAACACAAAAAAAUUGGACCCG